AGUCCAGGUCUCCACACGGCACACAUUCGGGUAAAAACUAUCCAGGAAGAUAAUUCAACAGACACUUGUGCACAGAGAAGCGACGUGUUGUGAAAACAUGAAGACUGUGAUUCUUGCUUUCCUGGUGUUGUUGGUUGUCAGUCAGGGUGAGUCCUUGACAUGUUUCUGUGGAGGUGUCCAGAAACACUGUACAAGUCCAAUAGAGACGUGCUCUGGAUCAAGCACUUUCUGUGGCAAAGUCACGCUUCCUGGUGUAAUCCUUCCCGUCAUCCAGGGCUGCAUGACAUCAAACGACUGUAAGCGUUUCAAUAGCCGCGAAAUAUCAUCUAAUUGCUGCAGCACAUAUCUGUGCAACAGAUAAAUGAACAUCAUCAUUAUGAACAUCAACAUAUCUUGCAACACAUUAAUAUUCUGCUGUGUGUGUUCCAGUAUCUUUGUAAUAAAAAGCAAUGUGUUGCAAAUUUAUCUA